rnacentral:rRNA from 1 species
CGAUUAAAGCUCUCUUCGGAGAGUGCAUAGAGUGGCGCACGGGUGAGUAACACGUAAGUAAUCUACCUUCGAGUGGGGAAUAACGUCCGGAAACGGACGCUAAUACCGCAUAAUGCAGCGGCAUCAUAAGAUGACAGUUGUUAAAGGAGCAAUUCGCUUGAAGAGGAGCUUGCGGCAGAUUAGCUAGUUGGUAAGGUAAUGGCUUACCAAGGCUACGAUCUGUAACCGGUCUAAGAGGACGGUCGGUCACACUGACACUGAAUAACGGGUCAGACUCCUACGGGAGGCAGCAGUCGGGAAUUUUGGGCAAUGGGCGAAAGCCUGACCCAGCAACGCCGCGUGAAGGAUGAAGUAUUUCGGUAUGUAAACUUCGAAAGAAUGGGAAGAAUCAAUGACGGUACCAUUUAUAAGGUCCGGCUAACUACGUGCCAGCAGCCGCGGUAAUACGUAGGGACCAAGCGUUGUUCGGAUUUACUGGGCGUAAAGGGCGCGUAGGCGGCUUAACAAGUCACUUGUGAAAUCUCCGGGCUUAACUCGGAACGGCCAAGUGAAACUGUCAAGCUAGAGUGCAGAAGGGGCAAUCGGAAUUCUUGGUGUAGCGGUGAAAUGCGUAGACAUCAAGAGGAACACCUGAGGUGAAGACGGGUUGCUGGGCUGACACUGACGCUGAGGCGCGAAAGCCAGGGGAGCAAACGGGAUUAGAUACCCCGGUAGUCCUGGCCCUAAACGAUGAAUACUUGGUGUCUGGAGUAAUAUGUGCUCCGGGUGCCGUCGCUAACGUUUUUAGUAUUCCGCCUGGGGAGUACGCUCGCAAAAGUGAAACUCAAAGGAAUUGACGGGGACCCGCACAAGCGGUGGAGCAUGUGGUUUAAUUCGACGCAACGCGAAGAACCUUACCUAGGCUAGAAUGUGAGGGAAGUCUGCGUAACAGCAGGCGUCUGGGAAACCAGACCCAAAACAAGGUGCUGCAUGGCUGUCGUCAGCUCGUGUCGUGAGAU